rnacentral:lncRNA from 1 species
ACAAUACUAUUUUUUAUGUGUUAAGAUAAGCACUUAGGUGUUUCUCGCAUGCUAUGAACUCCUUCUAUGAGGUGUUCCAGAUGCUUGAACCGUGCCUUCUGACCUUGGCCAGCUCUCGCAGGAUGCAUCAUAUAUAUCGCUGAUCUUUUGAAUUCUCAGUCAGCGAAACAAUACAUUGACUUCUUUGCUUGUGGAAAUACAACGCUUCUACAGCUCCGAGUCCUGGUUUUUCCUGGCAGUUGGGUAAAAUGGCACCGCUCAGUUUUAUGCUGCUGCUUAUGUUGCUUAUGUUGCUUCAAUGCUAGUUUGAGUGCUAGAGCUUUGUCACGGCAGCGCUGAUCUGACACAGAAGGGCAGAUCUUUGAUGGAGUAUCGAUGAGGGGCUCCAGAUAGGUACGUAUGCCUAUUGAAGAUGUAAUUAUCUGACGCUUGACCCAAAGCGCCCGUCCAGCUAGGCACCUGCCGCGACACAACGACUAGCUCCUGGGCUGUGGCCGUGGACACGGUCGAACAAUCCUCGAUACGACAUCCCCUCCCAGUUCCAGGUGUAAACAUAGACAUCCUACUGUAACCAGCCUAAUUUCCAUCACAUCUCGCUAUUUCCACACUUCUAAGCAUAUCCAUCUUUGCCUUUGCUUUGCCACUGGUCUCUUUGCCAUGCCACUGGUCUCAGGCAUUGGACCAGCAGCGGAUCACUAUUGAACCCACGGCGCCAGAACCUCCCACCUUCGUAAUCAGUCUGUCAUUAAGUGGCUAGCAGCAGAGCCAAACCCUCACCAGACAGUCAUCACCCAUAUCCACUCUGUUAUAUUUUCAUGAUGCCCUUCACUGUACAGGUACAUGUGCUUGACAGGUCACCACUUCAGCCAGGCCAGUGGAUUGUGAACACUGACAAUGUGUGUAUGUGGUAGCAGUAGCAGUCACACCUAGAUGGCAGGGUCAUAGAUUGGAUGGCACACACAAUGCUGAUAGUGGUGGGCAUUUGUCACUGAGGUGCAUGCCCAUGAAAUCUAUGACCCUGCCAUCUAGAUAUGACAGCUACCACAUACACACAUUGUUGGUGUUCAAUAUCCACUGGCCUGGCUGCAGUGGUGACCUGUAGAGCACAUAUAACUGUACAGCAAAGGCACAUCUUAAAUAUACAGUGGAGUGGAUAUGGGUGAUAAUAUGGGUGAUGAUAUGGGUGAUGACUGUCUGGUGAGGGCUUGGCUCUGCCGCUAUGGCAGUCACUUGAUGAGAGACUGGCUGUGAAGGUGGGGGGUUCUGGCGCCGUGGGUUCAAUAGUGAUCCGCUGCUGGUCCAAUGUCUUCUCCACGGUUUCGUAGCAAAGGUUGGCAUUCUCUUGCCACACAUAGGCUGAUUAGUCCCAAUGAUAUUAUCAUGGCCCAUGGAAUAAAGGGGCAAGUGGCUCCCCUGGCUCAGGUGUAGUAUCCUGGUAUCAUGGGAUCCUGAAAUCCAACUGGCUCAUUGAGGUUCACCAGUGGGCUUGGGGCUGUGGCCGCAGCUAUGAUGGUGCUACUUGACCAGGGUGCUACUUGACCGGGGGUCUGCACUGUGAUACUGUGACCAGAAAGGUGGCGGUAUGUGUACAUA